GCAGUCGUGACCGAGUGGUUAAGGCGAUGGACUAGAAAUUCAUUGGCGUCUGAUUCGAACCUGUUGGCACAGGUUCGAAUCAUGUCGACUGCG
rnacentral:tRNA from 1 species